AAAAUGUUACCUGAAGCAACAAUUGGAAAUUCAUAAAAGUAAAGUAAAAAACCACUUAUCAAGCUUAAAUCUACGAUUAAGGUAUAGAUUGACACUAGGGCUUAGUUCUUGCCCCGUGUUCUUGAGAGCAAUUGUGCUGCUCCUUAUCAUCCUUUUUAUUAUAAUAUAAAUUCCAGCAGCUCAUGCAAAAGAACUGGCCAUCGAGCUCUUUCUUAUGUUUAUCUUCCGCGUGCUUUAUAACUCCAUUCUUGAGCAGAAAUUCUUUGUGGCAUAAAUAGCAGAGGUAGUGUUCCGCUUGGACAUGUUGUAGUCCUUCGUGUUUGUCGAGCUCUUCCUUAUUAGUUGCUAUAUAUUCACACUUAUCACGGUUGAACGACAUCUAUAAAAAUGCAAAAGAAAAACAUGAUGAAAUGUAAACGUUAAGCAAAGGACAACCAUACAAAAAAGAGAAGGGAAACAGAGACAAGUAAAAGAAAACCAUAAACAUAAACCUUUUGAUAAAUAGAUACGAAAUGCACAGAUCGG
rnacentral:lncRNA from 1 species